GACGAACGCUGGCGGCGUGCUUAACACAUGCAAGUCGAACGAAGAGCGAUGGAAGCUUGCUUCUAUCAAUCUUAGUGGCGAACGGGUGAGUAACGCGUAAUCAACCUGCCCUUCAGAGGGGGGCAACAGUUGGAAACGACUGCUAAUACCGCAUACGAUCUAAUCUCGGCAUCGAGGAUGGAUGAAAGGUGGCCUCUAUUUAUAAGCUAUCACUGAAGGAGGGGAUUGCGUCUGAUUAGCUAGUUGGAGGGGUAACGGCCCACCAAGGCGAUGAUCAGUAGCCGGUCUGAGAGGAUGAACGGCCACAUUGGGACUGAGACACGGCCCAGACUCCUACGGGAGGCAGCAGUGGGGAAUCUUCCGCAAUGGACGAAAGUCUGACGGAGCAACGCCGCGUGAGUGAUGACGGCCUUCGGGUUGUAAAGCUCUGUUAAUCGGGACGAAAGGCCUUCUUGCGAAUAGUUAGAAGGAUUGACGGUACCGGAAUAGAAAGCCACGGCUAACUACGUGCCAGCAGCCGCGGUAUACGUAGGUGGCAAGCGUUGUCCGGAAUUAUUGGGCGUAAA
rnacentral:rRNA from 1 species